GAGAAUCCACAAGUGUUAACGUAACGGGUGUGUCCUUCCAACACUUGUAAGCAAACCGCAUUGUUUGACUCGACCAUCUUAAAACAAUAAUAACACGUUCAACGACAUUAUAAAAGGAAAAGAAACACUACAAGUUGUACUCACUAGUACUGGAUACCACUGGAUAGUAUUAACAACUAACUUGAUUUAUUUUUACUUAUUUCAUUAUAUUUUACAAAAUUUUGAAGGCUGCAUAUUAUAUAUAAUAUUAUAAUUUAUAUGUAGAUACUUAUAUAUCGAUUUAUUAUUUCCUAUGGAUAAUUUACCGUAAAUUAAUUGAGGAGUAGAAGGGGUGCAACUUCCUCCCUAAACUAUAUUUCAAAACGCAAUACGUUAAAAAUAUAUAUUUUUUAUACUUUGCCCCCCCCCAAAAAAAAAAAAAACUAAGAUACACCACGCAGCAUCUAAUACAAUG